rnacentral:lncRNA from 1 species
GCUUUCCAGGGGCUGUUAAUAUGUGGAGUGGAGAAGCAGUCUAGGAAUGAACUUCUCACCAGAGAAGAGAGAACAAAGGUGUAUAACUGUUCAUCAACACCAGAGCUGGAAGUUUUUGAUGGAGCUAAAUCCUUAAGCAUAUGUUUACAUGUGCUGGAAUUCCCAGGAAGGAGAUCUCUGAAAGACAGUAAUAAUGUCUGCUGCUGAAGGCUUUUAAUUCAUUUGACAAUAAGUGGUGCUACGAUGUGCACAAUUCGGUGCUAAAGAAGGAAAGUUAUUUGUAGGCAGAAUCCUGUACCUGCCUCCUUGUCUCUGCAGAGAACAGAGUUUGUCCUUGAACAGAAAUGGC